rnacentral:miRNA from 1 species
GCAGACACAUUCCAGCCAAUCAGCAGCAGACCCUCCCUCCCAGACCCUCCCACCUCCUGACAGCUCACUAAGAAUGCAGCUUCACAAAUGGAUGCUGUCCAGGAGGUGGGAGGGUCUGGGAGGGAGGGUCUGCUGCUGAUUGGCUGGAAUGUGUCUG